rnacentral:rRNA from 1 species
CCCUUAGAUGUUCUGGGCCGCACGCGCGCUACACUGAUACGCUCAACGAGCUCCUUGGCCGAAAGGUCCGGGUAAUCUUUGAAAUCGUAUCGUGAUGGGGAUAGAACAUUGCAAUUUUUGUUCUUCAACGAGGAAUUCCUAGUAAGCGCGAGUCAUCAGCUCGCGUUGAUUACGUCCCUGCCCUUUGUACACACCGCCCGUCGCUCCUACCGAUUGAAUGGUCCGGUGAAAUCUUCGGAUUGCUGACCAAGAUCCAGCAAUGGAGCUUGGUUGCGAGAAGUUGAUUAAACCUUAUUAUUUAGAGGAAGGAGAAGUCGUAACA